CCUACGGGAGGCAGCAGUGAGGAAUAUUGGUCAAUGGGCGCAAGCCUGAACCAGCCAAGCAGCGUGCAGGAAGACUGCUCUAUGGGUUGUAAACUUCUUUUAUACGGGGAUAAAGUGAGACACGCGUUCCUUUUUGUAUGUAUCUUAUGAAUAAGGAUCGGCUAACUCCGUGCCAGCAGCCGCGGUAAUACGGAGGAUUCAAGCGUUAUCCGGAUUUAUUGGGUUUAAAGGGCGCGUAGAUGGGUUGAUAAGUUAGUGGUGAAAUCUAGCGGCUCAACCUUUAAAUUGCCAUUGAUACUGUCAGUCUUGAGUGCAGUUGAGGUAGGCGGAAUUCGUGGUGUAGCGGUGAAAUGCUUAGAGAUCACGAAGAACACCGAUUGCGAAGGCAGCUUACUAAACUGCCACUGACGUUGAGGCGCGAAAGUGUGGGGAGCAAACAGGAUUAGAUACCCGAGUAGUC
rnacentral:rRNA from 1 species